ensembl:misc_RNA 7SK 7SK RNA
GGAUGUGAGGGCGAUCUGGCUGCGACAUCUGUCAUCCCAUUGAUCGCCAGGGUUGAUUCGGCUGAUCUGGCUGGCUAGGCGGGUGUCCCCUUCCUCCCUCACUGCUCCAUGUGUGUCCCUCCCGAAGCUGCGCGCUCAGUCGUCAAAGAGGACGGCCUUCCCUGAAUAGAGACGGACCAGUCUUCAGUCCAGGGUAUACGAGUUGCUGCGCUCCCCUGCUAGGACCUCCAAACAAGCUCUAAAAAUAUUCUUUUAAAUUUUUGAUAAGACAGAGAGAAUUUGAGAAGGAAGGGGUUGGGCAUAGUGAGGAAAAGAGAGAGAGGAGACACCUGCAACCCCUCUUC